rnacentral:rRNA from 1 species
GUGAGGAAUCUUCCACAAUGGGGGCAACCCUGAUGGAGCAACGCCGCGUGCAGGAUGAAGGCCUUCGGGUUGUAAACUGCUUUUAUAAGUGAAGAAUAUGACGGUAACUUAUGAAUAAGGAUCGGCUAACUACGUGCCAGCAGCCGCGGUCAUACGUAGGAUCCGAGCGUUAUCCGGAGUGACUGGGCGUAAAGAGUUGCGUAGGCGGUUAGUAAAGCGAAUAGUGAAAUCUGGUGGCUCAACCAUUCAGGCUAUUAUUCGAACUCGCUAACUCGAGAGUGGUAGAGGUAACUGGAAUUUCUUGUGUAGGAGUGAAAUCCGUAGAUAUAAGAAGGAACACCAAUGGCGUAGGCAGGUUACUGGACCAUUUCUGACGCUAAGGCACGAAAGCGUGGGGAGCGAACCGGAUUAGAUACCCCGGUAGUCC